rnacentral:lncRNA from 1 species
AAAGGGAAAGAAGGUAACGUUCUAUGUGAUGGUGCUGAACCUUUGAUGAAGGAAUUGCUGGGUUUGAAGCAUUUAAAUGUUUUAAGCUGGUCCUUCGGAAGUUCACUUGCUGUCCAAAAGUUUUUGAAAUAUCCAAAGCUGGUGAGCAUCACUCAAUCUGUAUGGGUUGAAUGUGGCACGUAUACAAGGCCACCGUUCAAUGUCUUACAUCUGGCAUACAUGGAGAAUCUUCAGGAGUUAGAACUUGAAUCCUGUAAUUUGGAAGAGAUGAAGAUUGACAGCACAGAAGAGGUAAAGAAACUUUUUCGAAAUGGUUUCCGCAAUCUUAACACAGUUGUCCUAAGGUCUUGCAGAGGGAAGGACUUAACGUGGCUUGUUUUUGUUCAAAAUCUCAAGCAGCUAAAUAUGCAGGGUUUUACUAUGGAAGAGAUAAUCAGUGUUGAAAAAUUGAGUGAUAUUUCAGAGGUAAUCGGGUCAGAGCAUAACUUUUUCCCACGACUCGAAUAUCUAACCAUGUGGCGGGGAACAAAUUUAAAGAGCGUUUACCCGAAUCCCCAGCCUUUUCCAAAGCUGAAGAAAAUUCAAGCAUUUCAUUGCCGACAGCUGUAGAAGCUCCCACUCAAUUCCAGCAGCGCGAAGGGACGUCGAGUUGUGAUGACAAUGCUAUAUUUGCUGCAGGACUUGAGUAAAAAUAAAAACAGCAAGAUUUGAUUAUGCUGUCAAUAAAAUCCUGCAAGAUUGUAGGAAAAAAAUUUGUUUUUAAAUUUUAUGAUAUCAGAUAUAUGUUAAAGAUAUGUAGGCAGAUUUUUUGGCUUUGUUUGUUUCUUUUCAUGUAUAAAUUCAAAUACUGCAAUAAUGAAUAAAAUACUGCAAUUAACAGACCCAAUUUCUAUGUGUUCUCUUUUCUUUGUUUAAAACCAACAAGGUGGUAUCAGAGCCCUUAUUCUUAAGGGACUUGUAACGUGAUUAGAGAGGCUUCCUACACUUCAAUAUGGCAGGAAAUGGUUUCUUAUCUGCUCCUCCAGUUUUCACAGGUGAAAAUUAUCAAAUAUGGGCUGUGAAAAUGGAAUCUUACUUGGAUGCAUGUGACCUAUGGGACUUGGUGGAAGCAGAUCCAGAGGAUCCACCAUUAGCUCAUAUGAGGAAUAACAGGGAUGAAAGAAAAUGGAGAUAUAAGGCCAAGACAUGCAUUCACUCUGCAGUUUCGGAGACAAUUUUUACAAAGAUCAUGACUUGUGAAACAACGAAACAGGCAUGGGAUCUUUUGAAACAAGAAUAUCAGGGGAACGUCAGGACAAAACAAAUGCAGGUCCUGAACCUGAGAAGGGAAUUUGAAAUGUAGAAAAUGAAGGAGACAUAAACAGUUAAUGACUAUAAAGACAAGUUGAUGAUGAUUGCCAAUAAAAUUAGAAUGCUUGGGGAAGAGUUUUCUGAUAGAAGGAUUGUAGAGAAGAUUUUGGUGACCUUGCCUCAGAGAUUUGAAUCUAAAAUCUCUUCACUUGAAGAGUCCAGAGAUAUGUCAACAAAGGAGAGCUUACAGAAAGGAGGAGAUAGUUGAAGGAGCAUUUCAAGUGAAAGAGGCUGAUCAAGCUCAGGGAGGCAGCAAAGAAAAGAAACAGUGGAGUAAGAAGAUUUACAAGAAGGGGGAAAGUAGCAUCAAUGAAGGCAACAAGGGCAAGCACUCCCCGUGUCCUCACUAUAAGAAAACCUCUCAUCCGCAAAAGAAAUGUUGGUUUAGGCCUGACAUUCAAUGCAGGGCAUGCAAGCAAAUUGGGCAUAUGGAGAGGGUGUGUAAAAACAAACAGCAAGAAGGACAUCAAGCUCAAGCAGCAGAACAACAACAGGAUGAACAACUUUUUGUUGUAUCUUGUUUUUCGAGUAACAGUUCGAGUGAUGAUUGGCUCAUCGACAGCGGAUGCACAAAUCACAUGUCUUUUGAUGAAUCUCUUUUCAAAGAAGUAAACAAGUCAGAAGUGUCAAGAGUUAAAGUUGGCAAUGGGCAGUAUAUUGAAGUGAAAGGUAAAAGGACAGUUGCAAUAAAAAGCUCAGCAGGUAUCAAGUUAAUUUCUGAUGUAUUACUUGUUCAUAAAAUUGAUCAAAAUCUACUGAGUGUGGGACAAUUGCUUGAGAAAGGUUAUUCUGUUGAAUUUAAGAAUAACAUGUGUGUCAUUACUGACCCAAAUGGUGUAGUGUUGUUCUCUGUGAAAAUGAAUAGCAAAAGCUUCAGCUUAAGUUGGAACAAGGAUGAAUGUAGUGCAUAUCAAUGUACUUUGAACCAGGCUGAGUUAUGGCACAAGCGGAUGGGGCAUUUUCAUUAUUCUGCAUUAGAUUACAUGCAGAAAAAUGAUCUUGUGCAAGGAAUGACUUUCAAUGGAGGAGGAGCAUCAGUGUGUAGAGUCUGUCAGCUGGGAAAACAAGCUAGAUUGCUAUUCCCUGUUAAUAAGGCAUGGAGAGCAGUUGAGAAGCUUCAGUUAAUCCACACAGAUGUUUGUGGACCUAUGAGGACUGCAUCCUUAAAUGGUAAUAGGUACUUCAUGGUUCUUAUUGAUGAUUUUAAUAGAAUGUGUUGGAUUUACUUUCUCAAACAAAAAUCUGAAGUUGCUAGUGUAUUUUGGAAGUUUAAAAAAUGGAUUGAAAAUCAAAGUGGUUGUAAAAUCAAGGUGAUUAGAUCUGAUAAUGGGACUGAAUAUACAGCUGAUAAAUUUGCUAAGUUUUGUGAAGCUGCAGGGAUUGAACAUCAGCUUACAACAACCUAUACACCUCAACAAAAUGGAGUCAGUGAGAGGAAAAACAUGACAGUCAUGGAGAUGGCUAGAUGUUUGUUGUUUGAGAAGGAAAUGCCAAAAAUGUUUUGGGCUGAGGAUGUUAAUACUGCUGUAUUUCUGCAAAACAAGUUACCAACAAAGGCUUUAAAGGGAAAAACACCUUUUGAAGCUUGGUUUGGUUUUAAACCCUCUAUUCAUAACUUGAGAAUUUUUGGUUGCAUGUGUUUUACUCAUGUUCCAGAUGCAAAAAGAGAGAAGUUGGAUCAAAAGGCAGAAUAUGGAGUUUUUGUAGGAUACAACACUCUCACCAAAGGUUAUAGAGUUUAUCAACCUUUGACGGGAAGAAUCAUAGUGAGUAGAGAUGUUAAAUUUGAUGAAACUGGAGGAUGGAAUUGGGCAACAGCUGAACCAAAGCAAGUUUAUGCAGAAGAAAAAACAUCAGAAUUGCAAGAUGAUGAUAUAAUUGAUGAUGAACCAAUAAGAGGUACCAGACCACUUAUAGAAAUUUAUCAAAAGUGCAAUAUGGUUGUGCUUGAACCUGCAGGUUAUAAUGAGGCUGCUAAAGAUCCAAAGUGGCUUGAACCAAUGGAAGAUGAGAUCAAGAUGAUUCACAAGAAUCAAACUUGGGAGUUGGUGGACAGACCACUACACAAGAAAACUAUUGGUGUGAAAUGGGUUUAUAGAACCAAACUCAAUGCUGAUGGUUCUGUAAACAAAUUCAAAACAAGGCUAGUUGUAAAAGGGUAUGCUCAACUAUUUGGUGUUGACUUUUCUGAAACGUUUGCACCUGUAGCAUGGCUGGACACCAUCAGAUUGCUUUUAGCACUUGCAGCACAAAAGCAGUGGAAAAUCUACCAGCUUGAUGUUAAAUCAGCUUUUUUAAAUGGCUAUUUGGAUGAAGAAAUCUUUGUUGAGCAACCUGAGGGUUUUGUUGCAGAUCUGAAGAAAGUAUAUUUGUUAAAAAAAGGCAUUAUAUGGCUUGAAGCAGGCUCCAAGAGCUUGGUACAGCAGGAUUGAUGAUCAUUUGCUGAACAUAGGCUUCAACAAGAGCAUGAGUGAAUCAACUUUGUAUAUUCAAGUAAUUAAUCAUGAAUUGAUUGUUGUUUCACUUUAUGUUGAUGAUUUUCUUGUCACAGGAAGCAAUGAAGAAUUAGUGAAGCAAUUUAAGGUUCAAAUGAUGCAAGCAUUUGAAAUGACUGAUCUAGGAGAGAUGACUUUCUUUUUAGGUCUGGAGAUUCAAAAGUCACAGCAAGGGAUCUUCAUUGGACAGCAAAAAUAUGCUAAAGAAGUGCCAAAGAAAUUCAACAUGGAGGAUUGCAAGUCAGUAUGUACUCCUUUAGCUCAAAAUGAGAAAUUUAGUAAAGAUGAUGGUGCUGAAAAGAUUGACGAAGCAUUAUAUAGGAGUAUUAUAAGUUGCUUGAUGUAUUUGACAGCAACAAGACCUGAUAUAAUGUUUGAUGUAAGUUUGCUGUCCAGAUAUAUGCAUUGUGCAAGUGAAUUGCACUACAAAGCUGCUAAAAGGGUGCUCAGGUAUAUCAAGGGAACUUUGGAUCAUGGAAUAAAAUUUGAGAAGGAAGACAAGCUGAUUUUGCAUGGUUUUGCUGAUAGUGAUUGGGCAGGAUCCUGUGAUGAUAUGAGGAGCACGUCAGGCUACUUGUUUAGUCUUGGUUCAAGUUGUUUCUGUUGGAGUUCAAAGAAGCAGGAAAUCGUAGCUCAGUCUACUGCUGAGGCUGAGUAUGUUGCAGCUGCUGCUGCAGUCAAUCAAGCCUUAUGGCUAAGGAAGCUUAUGACAGAUUUGAAAAUGAUUCAGGAUUAUGCAACUGAAAUCUUUGUUGAUAAUCAAGCUGCCAUAGCAAUUUCUAACAAUCCAGUGUUCCAUGGGAAGACAAAGCAUUUCAAAAUUAAAGUAUUAUUUUGUUAGAGAAGUCCAGAAGAAUGAUGAAGUAAGGCUCGUGUAUUGCAAGACUGAAGAUCAGCUAGCUGACAUUUUGACAAAGGGACUGUCAAAGUCAAGAUUUGAGUUGUUGAAGAAAAGAAUUGGUGUCUGCAGCAAAAAUAGCAAGGAGGAGUGAUGACAAUGCUAUAUUUGCUGCAGGACUUGAGUAAAAAUAAAAAUAGCAAGAUUUGAUUAUGCUGUCAAUAAAAUCCUGCAAGAUUGUAGGAAAAAAAUUUGUUUUUGAAUUUUAUGAUAUCAUAUAUAUGUUAAAGAUAUGUAGGCAGAUUUUUUGACUUUGUUUGUUUCUUUUCAUGUAUAAAUUCAAAUACUGCAACAAUGAAUAAAAUACUGCAAUUAACAGCCUCAAUUUCUUUGUGUUCUCUUUUCUUUGUUUAAAACCAACAAAUUGUCAUCGAGGGAACGAAAAAAUGGUGGGAAGAGCUACAAUGGGAGGAUCAAGCCACCCAAAAUGCUUUCUUUUCCUGUGCCGUACUUUGGGAGGAUCCUUAUUAUUAAUAUGUUUGAAUAUGUAUUUCCUUUUUCUUUUUUUUCUUGCUAUAGAGUUGCAUGAUUGUGAUGAUCCUUAUUAUUAUUAUCCUUUUUUUUUUUCACAUGAAGUUCAGUAACUACUUCCGAGAUUAAUAAGAUCCAACUCGUUUUUGGUUUAGUCAAAAACUUUUUGUGGCUCUAAAUCCUUUUUAACACCAGGCCAGGCAUCCACAAAUAUAUUGACACCAUUUUAUUUAUUGAUGUUUAUAUAACUGAAUUGAUUACAAAUUACCCUUUUUGUCCAGUGUGUUCAGAAUAUACUCUGCACAACUAACACAAAAAUAAACAUGUAACAUACUAAUCGUUUAUGUUAAUUUAUGGAGGCCUUAUUGUCCAAGGCAUAUGUAAAACCAUUUCACAUUCGGCAUUGUAAUGUUUAUGGACGGAUUUAAAUGAUGUCACACAAAGUCACAAAUAGUUAAAAAAAAGAAGGUGUUUGUUUUAAAAUGUUGGCAUAUUUAUGGAGUGGGAACUCAGAUGCUGAACUCUGAAUGGGCUGGAAUCGGAAUGGGUUAGAAUCGGAAUGAGCCGGAAUGAGAAUGGGGAAUGAGAGUCAAAAUAAGUUGUUUAUUUGAACUGUAGGAAUCGAAAUCGGAAUGAGUUAGAACCCCAUUAAUGUGUUUACUUUAUCUAAGAAUCGAAAUCGGAAUAAGUUAAGUUGUUUUAAGUUACUAAAACACCCUUAGUUGUUAAUAAUAAUAAUAAUAGUUGUCCUUUGGUAUUAAUGAUAAUAAUAAUAAAUUUAAUAAUAACAUUAUAAAUAAAUAAAUAAUAGUAAUAAUUAAUGAUAAUAAUGAAAUUAAAUAACAACUACUAAUACUACAAUAAUAAUAAUAAUAAUAAUAAUAAUAAUAAUAAUAAUAAUAAUAAUAAUAAUAAUAAUAAUAAUAAUAAUAAUAAUAAUAAUAAUAACAACAACAACAACAACAUUAAUAACAAAUAAGCAAACAAUGAAAUAAUACAAACACCAAUCUACAUAAUUUUAAUGUACAAUAAGUGGCCGAACAAUAUAAGAAAUUAAUAAUUUAAAAUAUAAAAUUAUAAUUCCCAAAACAAACAUUGUGCUCCUCUUCACCGGAUGUAGCAGAUCGCGACGAAAAAUGGCGGCAGGAUGAGCGCGACCACGGUGGCAACAGAUCGAUCGGGACCACGGCGGCAGAUCGUGACGAACGAAAGCAGCAGAUCGCAGCCUUUUGACACCCCCUCGAAGACCCUCCUUUAAAUUCCUUAUAACUCUUUAAUUAAAAUUAUUUAAAUAAUUAAAGAUAAAUUAAUUCCAUUUUAUUUUGAUGGAAAAUUUAAUUAAUACUUAAAUAAAAUUAUUCUUUUAACAUUUUUCCACCCACCUCAUUUCAUAUAUAUAUAUAUAUAUAUAUAAUUUUUAGAAACUUUUAAUAAUUUAUAAUCUUUUUAAGGUGAAAUUUAAUGAGAAGAUUAUUAAUUUUAAUUUAUGGAUUAGUAUUUUAUAAAUUAAACCAAGGUACUUUGAUAAAUAAAAAUUAAAACAAGUUUUAUAAGGAUUUUGGAGUGUACGAAUUCAGAAUAUAGAUUUUCAUGGGGACGUUGAAUAUGCUGAAGCUGAAGCUAUGAAUUUUAGAAUAAAAAUGGCAAUAGACUUUGGUUUAAUGCCAUUAAUUGUUGAAUCAGACUCGAAUACUAUUUUAAACUUGGCGAAAGGUUUUGAAAGAAGUAUGAAAGAAAUAUCAUGGUUAAUUUUCGAGAUUCGAAAUUGUAUGGUUGUGAAAGACCACUUCGAAAUCAAUCUUACAUAGAGAAGUAGUAGUGAGACCACUCAUAAAUUAGAUAAAUAUGAUGUUAACAAUUCAGGCUGUGUAAUUUGGUUGGAGGAAAUUUCAACUCAUGUAAGUCUUUUUCCUUUAAGCGAUUAAUUGAAGUUUUCCAUUUCCAAAGAGAGAUAGAGAGAGAGAGAGAGCUCAACUCAAAUGAAAGUACGAAACAAAGAGUAAAUCCUGAUAGUAGAAAAAUGAGCCAUGAGUAGAACUAUUCGCACCUUUGAAAGCCCUCAUAAAAAUCUUUCUUCAAUAUGUCCCGCUAAAUCAUUUAAAAAAUAAUAUUAUUUCUAAGGGCAGAGCUAUUUGCACUCUAAAAAUUAUUCUCAACGUUUUAUUACUAUAUACACAUAUUUAUUAAUUUAAAAAAAUGAACUAUAUUUUGUACAACUAUGAUGCCACUUCCACCUCCAAUUGAAUGUCAGAAAAUUCAAAGUUUGUCAAAAGAGGAUGGUAAAUUAAGCCCCCUUUUUUUUUUAAUCUGGAUUUGGUUGAACAUUUUUAUGUCGCAAAAAUGUUUGCUGUGUUGUAAUGCCUAAGUGUUGCAGACUAGUUUGUAAGAGUCUGAAUAAUUGUCCAUGUUACUCUGGUAUUGUGGAAUGCCAUGUAUUUUUUGGCCAAAAGAAAAAAUCAAGCAACCAAUGUAAACUUGUUUAAUAUCAUCAUAAUAUAACUGAAAAAGAAGUAAUUAUAGUCAUACAAAAAAAAUUAAUAAUUGUCAUGUCCUUAAUAAUAAUUUAUAUCAUAAAUAUUAUUGAAAUAAUUUUUUUUUAUAAAAUUAUCAGUGUUUAGUGUAAUUUUUAGAGUGUAUAUAGCCUCAUUCUAUUUCUAAACCCACAUAAGUUGAUUCCAAAAACACCCUUGGCUUACACACCAACCCCAUUUUCACAUUUUCUUCGUCUUGGGGAGCUUGAAACCCAAAUCUGAUGGCUUCAACUUUCGAAUAAUCAUUAUCUCCAUUAGAACUUAUAAUUUUAAAAGCUAUUUCCAUAAUAUUUUCAUUAGAAUUUCUUAUAACAACAUCCAACAUUGGUUAUUGAUAUUUUAAGGUUUCAUCUUAAAUAAUAAUAACAAAAUAAUUAAAAUUUUAUCAAAAUUUAAGGAAAUACAUUGUACUUUGAUAAACAAGGAAUGUCAACUAAAUAUCGUCAAAAUAAAUAAUAAAUUUUUAAGUCGAGUUUUGGUUUCACAUAAUUGUAAUUAUGGAGACUAGUUAUUCGAAUAAAAUUUAAUUUCUUCUGUUUAUCAUUGUAACUUUACAUAGGGACAAUUGCAUGAUUAUAAAGGCAGGGUUUGAUAAGGAUUUUUUGGAGGUACCAAUAGGACCACUCAUGAGCCAUGACAAAAUUAAGCCCAUGCGAGGCCCACCUAAUCCAUUUUUACAUUUAGCCAAUUAGCCUGAAGAAUAAGACGAUAAUAAACAGUAAGCCUAAAUAAUAAGAUGAUAUGAAAGUAAGAAUAAGGUUAAGAUACCAAUUUUUUAGUCUUAACUUCUUAAGUCUUAAGUCUUAAUGUAACAUGUCAUUCAUUUAUUAGACGAUAAAUUUCAUAACUUGUAAAAUUAUUUAACCACCAUCCAAUAAAUGAUUGUCAUAUCUAUUGAAAUUUAAAUUUAAAUUUUAGAAUACUUAGCAUUGAGCUGAAUCUAAACGAUUUUAUUUUCUAUUAUUUUUAUUUUAUUUUAAUUUUUUUUCACAAUCGGAUUUUUCUUUGAGACAAUAGAAAGCCUUUUGGCUUUAAGUUUCUGAAAACCAAUAAUAAAAAAUUAUCCAUGAGUUUCUGAAAACCAAUUAACUUCAAAAUCUCUUCCAGCGCUAGGAGGAACAUCUUCAAUAACUUUUUCAUGACCUUUUGGGUAAUAAAUCCCAGUUCUUUCAUGAGGAACCCAGCUACAAUUCCCUUCAUUUUCUCCCACAUUAUUAUUCAUCUGCUGGCUCCUCAUCACAUUUCCUUCUUCCGCAUUGGAUUUCAAUGCUGUUUCUCUUAUCAUAUCAUUAGAACUUGCUUUCUUUUGAAAGGAUUUCCUCAUUAUUGGCCUAUAUGUUUCAAAAAGACUUAACAAAUUAAUAAUGUAAAAACAAAGACUAAAAUAUUCAAACACUCAAAUGAAUGAAAGUAAUCUCUUUUUAUUAUUGCGUGGACAGUGGCGAAAUCAGGAUUUUGGAUGUCAUCAAUAAUAGAGAAACAACAAAUUUUAAGUAGGUUAUAACACAAGAAUAUAAACAUAUGGGGGCUACAAAAUAAAAUUAUCAGACAUAAGGAUAAAUUUAAUUGAAGACUUUCAUAUUUCUUGAUAAUGUUUUUUAACCUGAGUCCCCUGUGGAGACAUAUUGAUUCAGUUAAUAAAACAUUUAAUUCUAUGUACUUAACCAACCACUCAUAAUUAGUAAUUACAUAAUUUGAAACUAUUAGGCCUAUUUCGAACGAACUGUUUCAUAACAAAAUUAAUUUAGAUAAAGUGAAAAGAUUUAUUUACAAACAUACCAUGCAAUAAUGAAGUGCGAUUGUCAAAAUGAAAUGAUGAAAUAGCAAAGUAGAUAGAUAAAAACAUGGAGUUAAAGGUGGGAGCUCCUCUAGCAAAUGAUCCUGUCAUCUUUUUCUUCUUUUUUCUCUCACUUUCUCUCUUUCCAAACAAUGUGGGUGGAAUGAAUUGAAUUAUGAUUUAGAUAGAGAGCUCUUUACAUAGUGAAGUUAAAUAAGAGAAUAUUGUUAUCUAUUUCUCUCAUCUCUAGGGAGAUCGUUUAUUGUACGUCAUUUUCUGUUUGGAUAAAUAUUAAAUUAUAACACUCUUUCUUGAUCAUUGGGGAGCACUCAUUGCAGAGCAUGGCCUUCUUUUGUUCCCUUUUGUUUUGUUUUUGUUUUUUAGUCAUCUAAGUUAUGGGACAUGGCUUGUGGACUCAGCUUUUAGAAACUUUCCCUAGAUAAGUAGUUGAAUCUAGGGGAGGUACUUUUUAGUUUUAUAAGUGACAUUGAUUCACCUCAUGAUUAGUGGCCAGAGAGAAUAAUUACGAAAAAAAAAUUUUAAUUGUUAAUUAAUUUUGUUGAAUAUAUUAAAAUAGCCAAGUUAAAUUUAUAAAAAUAGUUUCAUAAACUCUUAAAUCCAUAAAAUUUUAAUUUUGAGGAUUACAAAAACCACACUUUAACAGAUAUACAAAAAGAUUGUAAAGAUAUAAGAUGAGUCGUUAAUAAUUGCACGUGCAAACAUCGUAUAUUCUUUAUAAUUAAUUGUGCAGAUUUUCAUGACCAAUGCACCAGAUUUUGAUGACCAAUGCACCUGGGUGCGAAAACAAAAAUUAGAACAAAAUAUAUUAAUAAGGGAAGGCCACUCUUUUGUCAAUAUAUAUAUAUAUAUAUAUAUAUAUAUAUAUAUAUAUAUAUAUAGAGUUUGUUAUAAAAGAUUACCUCAGUAUCAAACUCUCCCGAUUCAACAUUGACAUUGAUGACAGUGAAAAUCUUUACAAGAUCCACCAAUAAUCCAGGUCGAUCAGCCGUCUCCACCAAAAGCAAACUUCAAUAAAACAAAAGGUAAACUAAACAAAAAUAGUAAGGACCAAAUUAUCUGACUACUUCAGUUAUGGGCAGGAAUUGCCACUUGGGCUGGAGUAUGAGUAGUAAUAAUGUGGGACCAAAGUUUGGUGGAUAGCAAAAGCCCCAUCAUCUAGAUAAGAGAAUGAAUUAUGCAUUGCCUUCGGUUGGGGCCAUCAUCAUAGAUGCUUAUGUGGGUUGCUAUGUCCACAUCAACCUGACAAAUUCCAGCACAACAAGAUUUGAGACAAGAUUGAAGUGGGACGUUAUCCUUCCCAUAAUAACUCAUAUACGUAGUUUUUAACAUUCACAACAUGAUAUUAAUUUCAAUGGCAGGCAAAUUGAAUAUAAUGUCUUUAAAGAAAAUGAGGAUAAAAGUGAAGUAAUAUUUGGCCUAAGAGAACUCUAAAACAACUUAGUUUCCUAUUCAAAUGAUCACUAGUGAGAAGAGCCAAAAAUAUCAAUAAUCUGAAAAAUCAAAAUAAGACCAGAAAGCAAAAACCUGUUGUUUUGGAGGAUCAACGCCAAAGGCAACACCCAUUGCCAACUGGGAACUUGAUUCCUGAUUCCAUCACCAACACAAAUGGAAUAAGCUUUUGAAUAAGACAAUUCCUACAGGUGCUCCACCAAGUGAUAUCUCAAGAGAGACAAAAAAAAAUGAUUACCGGGUGAUACUGAAGUAGAUUGUUUAUAACUGUCAAACAAAUUGCCUCAAGCACCUCAGGAUCAUCAACUUUCCUACCAGUAUCACCGCACACAAGCAUCAUGACCAAAUUAAUCAAAACCACAGUGGGAAUCUAUUGCAAGAACUGCUCCAAAAAACACCGAUGGCUCUUUGGAUCAUUGAUUUUAGGUUCUAGUAUGUCCAAAAUUUUAACGAUUUCAACAUUAGUGAUAAACAUCUAUUUGCAACAGACUGAUCAUACUUGUAUAUGGAGCAUCACAAGUAGGUAUUUACUAUGCUCAUCAAAUAUAGACCAGAAGACGUUGACAACAAUUAAAGGGUAUUAGUGAAUGAAACUGCAAGCAGAGAAUACAAAUCAGCUCAGUAAUGCAAGGGCAUGAAAAGCAAAAUGCAUAUGCAUCACAAAAUUAUAGAGAUAUAUAAUUUCGCAGUCAUAUGAUGAUAUUGCAGCGGUGAAGCCGUGCGUGAGGUUAAGGCAAGCGAUGGAAUGACUUGCGUUACAAAAGAGGUAUUUGCAAUGAUUGUGUACUGGACGGAAAUUGAAUCCAUGUUUAAGAAUUUACCGCCGGGGAAAAAAUGUCAAUACAAAGUCAAUGCGAACGAAUAGUGAAGUCAGCAGUCGCAAAGGCAAAGUUCUUAACCAGAUGGACUCCAGAUAGAUUAGCGGUGGCAGUUUCACAGCUGACAGAUGAACAAAGAAUGGCUGCUUGUCAAAUGGGCUUUGGUAGUUUUCUACAACUGAACCGUGGCAAGCUAAAAAGGAAACUUUGUGGCUAGUUAAUUGAGAUGAUUGAUACUUUGAGGUACAUUUUAGAGUUGAAUGGUAUUAGCUUUCGAACAAGAUCAUCAAAGAAACUCCACCAACCAGGAAAUUUAGACUUAAUCUAUGCUCUGCAAAUUCAUAUACUCUCUAAUAUGAAACUACUUUUAUGUGUUUUGUUAUUCCGACUUGGUAACGUUGUUAUGGAAGCCUGACAACUAUUAUGUCCGUGCAAUUUUUAUUGUAUCUUUUGUUAUGUCAUGAUAUCGAAGCUUGGUUUUCUGACUCCAACUACUAAGAACUGCAGUUGCAGCAUCUUUUGAAUAUUACAUAUGUGCUUGUAGUGUCUCCACGGAUUAAAAUCUGCUAUUUAAGUUCUUCUACCGCCCCCGCUUCUUCUUUCAUUUAUACUUGCUGCACCAUUUACUUCACACUCUGUAAAGCCAUAUGAAAGCUUGUUCAUUUAUGUUCACUUGCAAUUCAAAAGCAGUGUUUAUUUCAACUGUCAAAUUGACUACUUGCACGUAUUGAUUUCAGUCGAAACAAGGUUAUUGGUCGAUCCAGAAAUUGAAUCCAUAUGGCCAUUCCAGCAUCAUUCAACCACCUAAUUUCAAAUAUAUAAAUUAAUUCAACCCACUUAAGUGAUCAAAGGCGUGGAACAAAUCAUGAAAGAUUUUUCAGCUAUCAUAAAUUCGAACGGAUGUAGUUUGUAUUCUUUCAGGCUUAGACAGAUUUUUUGCAACAUAAACUUGUAUGUAAUGUACAUUUUUUUGUUCCUUACAAAUUAAUUGCUGCUAAAAUAAUUGUUUCGACCAAUAUUUAUUGUUAUAAUAGAGAAACCUUUUCUUGCAACUCAAACAGUUCCGAUGGCAUGAUCUGCAUCCCCUGUUUGCCUCUUGGGCUGCACGAUCUUGCUCCUUUUCAUCAAACGGCAACUUCGCUGCAGACAAAAAGAGGGGGUACAGUGCGCAGGGGCACCGUAGAUGUAGCCCAAAAAGAUGAUUUUGUCCCUCCAUGUCUAAGUAUUUUAACCAAAAAAUAAUAAUAAUUCCUUACAUCAUCAAUGAUUGCACUUGUAAAUCUAAGGGAUUAGAAUUCUGUAUUGAAUUUAUAUUUUAUUAAAUAAAAAAUUAAUGUUAAUUUUUUUUUUUUUUUAUCUAGCUAUCAUUGACUUUAUAUUUUGGAUCUUCAUCCAGAAUUAAGGCACAAAAUUUUUGUUCUAAAUAAAUAUUCUCAAUAUAAAUUUAUCACUUAAAUAAUAAUGAUAAGAUUUAAUAUUAAUUCUAUCAUUACUGAAAUGGAUUACAAAUUUUAUAUGACUUGUAAACGUAUCAUUAUGUUCUUGAUAUUUGAAACAUGAAUCAAGCAACAUAUGUAGCAUAUUUUUAUUUCAGUGUCGUGCUUCUCUAAAAAUUGUUGAAAGCAGAAGCCAAGCUGGCAUGCCUCCUGAGCUGGUGUGGUAGGUGAGUUGGAUUUGUUGAGCUGGCAAAUGAAAUUAUUUAUGAUGAUGCUGUGAAUUUAAUUGUCGUAUAAUGUUUGUGUAGAAUUAAGAAUGGAAGACAAUGUCGAUGAUGACAAGAAGAAUAGCAGCGCAUGUGAAUUGAAUAGUUGCAUCUUCUAGAAGCUUAAUGUGAUUGGUUCACAAUUGAAUUGAAUAGUUGCAUCUGCUAAUGAAGAAUAGCAGCGCAUGUGAAUUGAAUAGUUGCAUCUUCUAGAAGUUUGUCUCUGUAUGCAAACUAGCAAAGCUCUGUAUUUCAUUUUCAUUCAAGUCAUCAUAAUCAAUAAAGGCCUGAUUCUCAUACUCUGUUUGCAUUUGAAAGCAAUUCUUAAGAAUUUAAGUAAAAUGACCCUCACCAAAUUAGCUUAAUUCUUUUCAUUGUACCCAUUGCUUCACUUCCUCUUUUCGUCAACGACAAUGGGUAACUUAAUCUCAACCUUCUUACCAGCAGACUUAUUCGAUCGAACUUCAAACUGCGUUGGUGAACAAGCAAAAUAUGUAUGGGGUCUCGAAAAAAAUCUUCGGGUCUUGGAGACUGAAUUGCACAAAUUGACUCGAGCAAGGGACGAUCUGAAGACCAAGGUUGAGGUCGAAGAACAACGACCUCGAACCAGACGAACGAACCAGGUCGCAGGGUGGCUUGAAGAUGUGCAAAAACUGGAAACUGAAUUUACCGAGCUGGAACGAGUUAGAGCUCAAGAAAUGGAUAGAUUGUGCCUUGGAGGCCUCUGUUCCAAAAACUUCGUUUCAAGCUACAAUUACGGGACUCAGGUGGUCGAGUUGACGGAUCGAGUGAUCAAUUUAAAGAAAGACGGAGAAACAAUUGAAGUCGUUGUUGAGAAGGCGCCGGAUGGUGCAGCAAUUGAAUUACCUGUUGAUCACACGGUUGUUGGUCAAGAACGAUUACUUGAUCAAGUUUGGAGAUGUAUCACUGAUGAGGAAAAGAACAGGGGAAUUAUCGGCUUGUAUGGUAUAGGGGGAGUCGGCAAAACUACCCUUUUAAAACAAGUCAACAACAACUUCUGCCAUCAACGGCAUAUUUUUGAUGUUGUUAUCUGGGCGGCUGUGUCAACACUUCAAGAUGACAUUGGAAAAAGGAUUGGCUUUUCAGAAGCCAAGUACUGGAAGGAAAAAAGUCUUCAAGCUAAGGCUGUGGACAUCGCUGGCAUUUUAUGCCGAAAGAAGUUUGUGUUGUUAUUGGAUGAUAUAGGGGAACGGAUUGAUUUAACACAAUUGGGUGUCCCUCUUCAAAAACUAAAAGAUGGGUCCAAAGUAGUCUUGACAACUCGUUCAGCUGGUGUUUGCGAUCAAAUGGACGCUGAAAAGGUGGAAGUGUAUAGUUUGGCGCAUGAUAAAGCCUGGGAAUUAUUUCAGGAGAUGGUCGAAAGAUCCACUCUUGACAGUCAUACCAGUAUUCCAGAGCUAGCCGAAGCCUUGGCAAGAGAGUGUGGUGGGUUGCCGCUAGCGCUUAAAACAGUGGGUCGAGCCAUGAAAAGCCAAAGGAGAGUUGGAGAUUGGAAACGUGCAAUUAACAAAAUGAGAACAUCAGCUUCUAAAUUCUCAGGUAUGAAAGAAGAGGUGUUUUCGCGUUUAAAGUUCAGCUAUGAUAGUUUGUCUACGGAUGAACUUCGUUCCUGUCUCCUGUAUUGUUGUUUAUACCCUGAAGACUACAAAAUUCCUAAAAGGGAAUUGAUUGAUUAUUGGAUUAGUGAAGAAUUUGUGUGUGAUUUUGAUGGUGGAUGCGAUUUUAUUGAUGACCUUCUUCAUGCAUGCUUAUUGGAGGAAGAAGGCGAUGAUCAUGUAAAGAUGCACGAUAUGAUUCGUGAGAUGUCAUUAUGGAUAGCGUGCACGGUAGACAAGGAGGAGCAGAACUUUCUGGUUCGCGCUGGAGUUGAAUUGACCGAAGCACCAAAGUUUGAAGAAUGGCAAGGUGCCAAACGGGUAUCUCUGAUGGGAAAUGGAAUUAGGAGCUCAUCGGAAAUUCCCACGUGUCCGCGCCUCGUAACUUUACUUCUUUCAAUCGAUGUCUUCUCUUAGAGUAUUAAGUCUAAGAGGAAAUUUUCCCCUAAGAACACUACCUUCAGGGAUUUCAGGUUUGGUUUCAUUACAUCAUCUUGAUCUAUCAUCGACUAACAUAACUGGGUUGCCGCAAGAGCUGAAGGCGUUGGAGAAGUUGAGAUAUUUGAACUUGGACUAUACACGGUUUUUGUCUAUAAUUCCACAUCAAUUGAUAUCUGGUUUUUCAAAGUUGGAGGUACUCAGGUUGCUUUCACGCGGUCGCUGGAGCGUAAUAGAAGGUAACGUUCUAUGUGAUGAUGCUGAACCUUUGAUGAAGGAAUUGCUGGGUUUGAAGCAUUUAAAUGUUUUAAGCUGGACCUUCCGAAGUUCACUUGCUGUCCAAAAGUUUUUGAAAUAUCCAAAGCUGGUGAGCAUCACUCAAUCUGUAAUGGUUUGCCAAUGUGAAAGUCCACCGUUCAAUGUCUUACAUCUAGCAUACAUGGAGAAUCUUCAG